AACUUUUAAUAAUAAUAUAAAAUUGACGUAUAAAAAUAACCAUUACAUCUCCGUAUUUACGAUAAUUAUUAGAUAAACUAUUUUUACUCCCGUAGAUCAAAUUUCAUUGUGAUACGAUACUUGAAUGUAUAGAUAAUAAAUGGUUGAGAGCUUCGCGCUGGCGCAAAACUCCCACCAUGGAUGUCUUCAGCACGCGCUUGGUUCAAGGGGCGAUUCGACAUUUCCACGCCAAAUCGAGUUCGGCUUUUUCCCCGGCACGAAGUGACGCUCCGAUCUCGCGUAAUUGUGAAAGGGAAUAAGACAUAAGGACAUUGUGCACGAUUAUGUGAUGCAGUACACAGGAUCUUUUGAUCUUUUUUCGAGUUUUUACAGACGAACGAGCGCAUCGUGAAUGAAUAAAAACACACAAGUGGUGACAUAUCUGAAUCAAGGGAACUAACAUGAGUGCAAGAAAGUACGUUCUAUCGUAGCGCGUAUUUCCACCCAGGUCAACACGUGGACGAGGGUAAGCAACGGAAGGAUCUUGCAUCGCGAAAAACUGACGACACAUGAAAAAUAUUGACAUUUUCGACAAGAUGUAGACUGAAAUCCGCCAGCAACAUCGAUCGUAAACCAGGAUUACAACGACGAACUUUUAUGGGAACGUCGACACUGCUCGAGGA